GUUCUGUCUGCAUCAUACCCGGCGACAGCAGCUUCUAAGAGCUGGGGCGCUGGAGCAGACACGGGGGUUCCUAGCUGUGGCUGCUCUCUUCCUUCACAGGCACAUGGAAGCACACUCAAGCGUUCGACAGCACUUCAGCACUGUGCUUGAGGCCAUUGAACACAAAAGCACCAAAUGUGAAAAAAGCGGCACUACGUAGGCAACAAAAAGAAUACUUGUUUACAGUGUGAGCUCACAACGUUGGGUUCGACAAUGACUGCUUGAAUAUGAUACCAAAAGCACAGGCAACAAAAGAAAAAGUGGGCAAAUUGGACUUCAUAAAAAUUUAAAAGGCCAGGCGCGGUGGGUCACGCCUGUAAUCCCAGCACUUUGGGAGGCUGAGGUGGUUGGAUCACAAGGUUAGGAGAUCGAGACCAUCCUGGCUAACAUGGUGAAACCCCGUCUCUACUAAAAAAUAAAUACAAAAAAAUUAGCUGAGCAUGGCAGCGUGUGCCUGCAGUCCCAGCUGCUGGGGAGGCUGAGGCAGGAGAAUGGCGUGAACCUGGGAGGCGGAGCUUGCGGUGAGCCCAGAUCGCGCCACUGCACUCCAGCCUGGGAGACAGAGCGAGACUCAGUCUCAAAAAAAAAAAAAAAAUUUAAAGUUUUGUACACCAAAAGGCAACAUGAACAGACCAAAACACAACCAGCAGAAUGGGAGAACAUAUUUGCAAAUCAUGUAUCUGAUAAGAGAUUCAUAUACAGAAUAUACAGAGAACUCCUGAAACUCAGCAACGUGAAAAGAAACAACCUGGCUGGGCGCAGCGGCUCACACCUGUAAUUCCAGCACUUUGGGAGGCCAAGGCGGGUGGAUUGCCUGAGCUUAGGAGUUCGAGACCAGCCUGAGCAACAUGGUGAAACCCAGUCUCUACUAAAAUACAAGAAACUAGCUGGCUGUAGUGGUGCACACCUGUAAUUCCAGCUACUAGGGAGGCCGAGGCAAGAGAAUCACUUGAACCUGGUAGAUGGAGGUUGCAGUGAGCCGAGAUCAUGCUACUACACUCCAGCCUGAGUGACAGAGCAAGACUCUGGGGUGUCUCAAAAAAAAAAAAUUCUUUCAGCAACGUUUGGUAGUUUUCCUUGUGCAAAUCUUUCUUCUCCUUAGUCAAGUUAAUUCCUAAACUUCUUUGUAAUACUGUUGUAAAUAGUAUUAUUUUUUCAUAAUUUCUUUUUCAGAUUGUUCAUUAUUAGAUUAUUAGUAUACAGACAUGCAAUGGAUCUGGGUUUAUUUACUUGGUACCCUGCUACUUCGCUGAAUUCAUUUAUUUUAACAGGUUUGUGCAUGUGUGGAAUCUUCAGGUUUUCUGCAUAUGAGAUCAUAUCUUCUUCGAACAGAGAUAAUUUACUUCUUCCUUUUCAAUUUGGAUGCCUUUUAUUUCUUUUUCUUGCCUAGUUGCUCUGGCUAAGACUCAGUACUAUGUAAAUAGAAGUGGCCAAAGCAGGCAUCCUUGCUUUGCUCCCUUUUUUUUUUUUUUUUGGAGACAGAGUUUCGCUCUUGUUGCCCAGGCUGAAGUGCAAUGGAGUGAUCUUGGCUCACUCUAAACUCCGCCUCCCGCGUUCAUGCCAUUCUCCUGCCUCAGCCUCCCAAGUAGCUGGGAUUACAGGCAUGCGGCACCACACCAGGAUAAUUUUGUAUUUUUAGUAGAGGCAGGGUUUUUCCAUGUUGGUCAGGCUGGUCUCGAACUCCCAACCUCAGGUGAUCCGCCCGCCUCAGCCUCCCAAAGUGCUGGGAUUACAGGCGUGAGCCACUGCACCUGGCUGCUUUGUUCCCAAUCUUAAAGAAAACAUUUCAGUCUUCCAAGGAUUGGUUUUGAGCUGAAGCUGCUCUCCUUGGCUUGCAGAUGGCUGUCCCCUUGCUGCCUUGUCACAUGAUUGGCCCUCUGUCCACUUGUAGCUCUCGGUGCUUUGCAUGUCCAGAUUUCUUCUUAUAAGGUCACCAGUCAUAUUGGACUAGGGCCCACCCUAACGGCCUCAUUUUGACUUAAUUUCUUCUUUAACGGCUUUGUCUCCUAAUACAGUAACAUUCUGCAGCUCUGGGGAUUGGGACUUCAACAUGUGAAUUCGAGGGAACAAAAUACAGCCCAUAACAAUGAAGAAAUGGAUCCAUGAAGGGAUGGAAAGGAGGGCUCACAUGCAGCUCUGAGGGGAAACGAGGAGGCCAUGACCACAUUUUCUCCUAAAAAUAAAUAAAUAAAUAAAUAAAUAAAUAAAUAAAUAAACAAACAAACAAACCACAACAGAUAAAGUUAAAUUCCUCUUCUCCCAUCACUCCCCUGCCAGAACCUCCCCAGAGGUGGCUGUGGUCAUCUGUUUGGUGCACAGCUGUCCAAACCUGAUGCCCUAGGCUGGAGGAUUUC
rnacentral:lncRNA from 1 species